rnacentral:tRNA from 1 species
AGAUGUAGCUCAGUAGUAAAGCACUUGCCUUGCAUGUACAAAGCCCUGGGUUUGAUCCCCAGCAUUU